rnacentral:rRNA from 1 species
GAUGAACGCUGGCGGCGUGCCUAAUACAUGCAAGUCGAGCGAACGGACGAGAAGCUUGCUUCUCUGAUGUUAGCGGCGGACGGGUGAGUAACACGUGGAUAACCUACCUAUAAGACUGGGAUAACUUCGGGAAACCGGAGCUAAUACCGGAUGAUAUUUUGAACCGCAUGGUUCAAAAGUGAAAGACGGUCUUUCUGUCACUUAUAGAUGGAUCCGCGCUGCAUUAGCUAGUUGGUAAGGUAACGGCUUACCAAGGCAACGAUGCAUAGCCGACCUGAGAGGGUGAUCGGCCACACUGGAACGGAGACACGGUCCAGACUCCUACGGGAGGCAGCAGUAGGGAAUCUUCCGCAAAGGGCGAAAGCCUGACGGAGCAACGCCGCGUGAGUGAUGAAGGUCUUCGGAUCGUAAAAAUCUGUUAUUAGGGAAGAACAUAUGUGUAAGUAACUGUGCACAUCUUGACGGUACCUAAUAAGAAAGCAACGGCUAACUACGUG